AUCGCGACCUUAAACCCGAAAACU
rnacentral:siRNA from 1 species